rnacentral:lncRNA from 1 species
UUGUGAGCACUUUUUGAGUGGGAAUAUCUGCUCCCUGUUAGAUCUCACCCACCAGAAAAACUUGUGGUACUCAAAAAUACUGGUACUACUUGUCACAUGAAUUCUGUGAUCCAACAGCCACAUAUGAUAGUUUCCACCAGAAACAGUAUUCCUGCAAUUGAAUGCAUAGGUAAAAAUAUAGACUAUGAUUUUUCAAACAUGAGAAGCAGAACAGUUAGUAAUGUUGGUACCCAACAUAAUUUACUAGAAUAUUUUUAUUAAUUUGAAGACAAACCAAAGUUAAAUAACACAGGAGAUAGAAAAGAGUACAAUAUUCAUGUCCUAAGACAGCUUCAAGACAUCUUUGUUCAUUUAGCUGUUUCCAAACUACAGUCCUAUGUACUGAAGGAAUUUUGGUAACAGUUAAG